ACAGCCCUUCCAGUUCUUAGGUGAUCUCCAGGACCCUCCUUUCAUUCCCAGCACAUCUUUGGUUUAGUGGUCCUGGCCAGCCUCCCUCCCUAGGAAGGUGGCCAGGUCCUCACUGAGUCUCCUUAAGGACAGGGGCACAGGGGAGACUAGAGCUGGCUCAGCUUUGGGCUGAGGCCAGUCUGACCUCUCCAGUCUGUGGUGCUUUGCUACAAAACUGUCUGGAUUGUGUCACCCUAUCUAGGAUAAAUCUUUAUGUCCACAUAUAUUGUGUUGAAUUGUUCCCAUUUUCU
rnacentral:lncRNA from 1 species